UACGAAGGGGGCUAGCGUUGCUCGGAAUCACUGGGCGUAAAGGGUGCGUAGGCGGGUCUUUAAGUCAGGGGGGAAAUCCUGGAGCUCAACUCCAGAACUGCCUUUGAUACUGAAGAUCUUGAGUUCGGGAGAGGUGAGUGGAACUGCGAGUGUAGAGGUGAAAUUCGUAGAUAUUCGCAAGAACACCAGUGGCGAAGGCGGCUCACUGGCCCGAUACUGACGCUGAGGCACGAAAGCUAGGGGAGCAAACAGG
rnacentral:rRNA from 1 species